rnacentral:tRNA from 1 species
GUUCUUGUAGUUAAGUUUGUAACAACGGCUUUUCAUGCCGUGGACCCUGGAUAGAGACCAGGCAGGAACC